CCUACGGGUGACAGCAGUGGGGAAUAUUGGACAAUGGGGGAAACCCUGAUCCAGCCAUGCCGCGUGAAUGAUGAAGGCCUUCGGGUUGUAAAGUUCUUUUGGUGGGGACGAUGAUGACGGUACCCACAGAAUAAGCUCCGGCUAACUUCGUGCCAGCAGCCGCGGUAAUACGAAGGGAGCUAGCGUUGUUCGGAAUUACUGGGCGUAAAGGGCGCGUAGGCGGUUCGACAAGUCAGAUGUGAAAGCCCUGGGCUCAACCCGGGAAUUGCGUUUGAUACUGUCGUGCUUGAAUUCGGGAGAGGUUGGUAGAAUUCCCAGUGUAGAGGUGAAAUUCGUAGAUAUUGGGAAGAAUACCCGUGGCGAAGGCGGCCAACUGGACCGACAUUGACGCUGAGGCGCGAAAGCGUGGGGAGCAAACA
rnacentral:rRNA from 1 species